AGACAUGACUUGGUUCACUUUUGUGAUAUUGUGGUCUAUAUUUUUGUGAUAUCAAUAUUUUGAAGGCUUUGCAAACUUCUUCAAUUCUGUUAUUUUCUAACCUUUGCAAGUCAUUUUUUCAGCACUAGAGGAAACAAUUGAAGCACACGAACUGAACUUGUAAAACUAGGAGCUGCCUUAAUUCCUUUUCGGGGUGCCUUAGAGCUACUUAGCUCUGAUGAUGCGCCAGGGCCAGUCCUGCAGAGAAUGGUGC
rnacentral:misc_RNA from 1 species